AGAACGAACGCUGGCGGCAGGCUUAACACAUGCAAGUCGAACGCCCCGCAAGGGGAGUGGCAGACGGGUGAGUAACGCGUGGGAACCUACCCAGAACUUCGGAAUAACACAUGGAAACGUGUGCUAAUACCGGAUACGCCCUACGGGGGAAAGAUUUAUCGGUUUUGGAUGGGCCCGCGUAAGAUUAGCUAGUUGGUGAGGUAAUGGCUCACCAAGGCGACGAUCCUUAGCUGGUCUGAGAGGAUGAUCAGCCACACUGGGACUGAGACACGGCCCAGACUUCUACGGAAGGCAGCAGUAGGGAAUCUUGCGCAAUGGGCGAAAGCCUGACGCAGCGACGCCGCGUGAGGGAUGGACGGUCCUUCGGGUUGUAAACCUCUUUCGAGUAGGGACGAAGGCCUCGACGGUGACGGUACCUAACAGAAGAACGCCCCGGACCAACUACGUCGCCAGCCAGCCGC
rnacentral:rRNA from 1 species